ensembl:snoRNA
GCAUGACUGAAUACGGUGUUCUUUUUCUUACACAGCCAGACACCGUGCAAAAGUAAAGUCUUCCCUUUGAAAUGCCUGCGAUGACUGAUGAAUGGAUACAGAA